GAACGCUGGCGGCAUGCCUAACACAUGCAAGUCGAACGGGAGUAGCAAUACUCUAGUGGCGGACGGGUGAGGAAUACAUAGGAAUUUGCCCUUAAGUGGGGGAUAGUCCGGGGAAACUCGGUUUAAUACCGCAUGAUCUCGUGAGAGCAAAGCAGGGGACCGCAAGGCCUUGCGCUUUUGGAGAAGCCUAUGUCGGAUUAGCUAGUUGGUGAGGUAAUGGCUCACCAAGGCGACGAUCCGUAACUGGUCUGAGAGGAUGAUCAGUCACACCGGAACUGAGACACGGUCCGGACUCCUACGGGAGGCAGCAGUGGGGAAUAUUGGACAAUGGGCGAAAGCCUGAUCCAGCAAUGCCGCGUGUGUGAAGAAGGCCUUCGGGUUGUAAAGCACUUUAGGUUGGGAAGAAAAAAUUCGGGCGAAUAUCCCGAGUCUUGACGGUACCGACAGAAUAAGCACCGGCUAACUCUGUGCCAGCAGCCGCGGUAAUACG
rnacentral:rRNA from 1 species